GCCACACAACAAGCCGCUAAACGCAUCUGAGCCCCCAUUCAUCACGUUCACCUCACCUGCCCGGACUGCGCCCCCGCCUCCCUCCCCACCGCCGUGCUCCCUUUGCCUUCGGGUCGCUCCCCUCUGUGGUUGUACGACGCCCGCCGCCCGCGCAACCUCCCUUCACCCCGCUCGACGUCGUCCUGCCCGUCCGCCUCUCCUAUGGCGCACGGCACCUGCCGCCUGACCCGCCCUUCCACCAUCUCCUGUGUCGCCGGCAGAACCUCACUUCGCGCUGCUCGCCAUCGGAUUGGCCCGCCCGUGCGCCUCUCCUACGACGCCGGCCUCCAGCUCCGCCCUCCUCCAUCUCCUAUGGUGCACGACGCCCGCCGCCGGCCCCACCCUUUGGCAUCUCCUAUGGCGCGCGGCGUCCGUCCGUCGGCCUCUCUUGUGGCUAACGGCUGUUGCUGCUCGAUGUCUCGAACAACGCUACAGAGUGGCCCUGCCACGGCUUCAUCAUAUACCUCAUCGGUCUUUGCAUUUUCAAUGAUCCAUCCCUUGAGCCAUAUGAUCUGUCAGAUGAUGACACUAAUUUACAGAAGAAUUUCACACAUCUAAGUGAUCUUGCAGCUGCACUGCGAAAACAUGACCAUCGUGAUGGUGUUGAAAGCGCUCUUAGUUCUGCUGAAAAGCUUGUGAGAGCAUCACCUGAUGAGCUGUGCCACUGCUCGGGUGAUCUUGUUCAAGCACGUGUACAUGUUCCUUGUUUUCGUGUCAAGGUGGAAGGCGAGGAAGAUUCUCCUGAAGAAAACCGACAGAAGGCAUUAGUCGCCUUGCUGAUGAAUAACCAACCAGGCACAGAUCCAUUUCAGUCUUGAGCAUGCCCCAUUUACGGACCUAACGAGCACUGGUAAUAAUCAACAUCGUCCCGGGAAAAACGAAAUCUGACAUUUUAUUCUGAAUUUAUCUAACAGUAUGGGAAUACGGUAAAUGAUAACAGUCAGAAAUCUGACAUUAUGAAAAAAACUAGACCAUUAGGGAGAAAAGCCCCUGCUGUUUUCUAAUAAAGAAGGAGAUGUCAGACCCGUGUAAGAACCGAGGUGAGGAACCCGCGCCGUCUAGGAGGCAGCACUGCACUCUGACCAUUGAGCUGAGAGCUCAUCUACCGAAAAAUCUGACAUUAAACCGGUAGGUCCCGACCUCAAUUGCCGGGUGUGCUCUAUUAAAGCUUGGGAUUUACCCUGCUAAUGUGCCAACUUUGGUUUUAGUUCAGGAAGAAGAAGGUUGUGCACAAGAUGGCGUUGAGUGUAACUGGCUUGAGGCUUUUCUGAAUUCCUUGGUUCUUUCUACCAAAAGUACUUGUAUUAGGACGUUUUCUACACAUUUGGGAUAGAUUAUCAAGAAAAUUUGUCUAAAGUUUGAUCAAAUUCAUUUAGAUUCAGUUUAAUUAUAGGGCUGUUCAUUUUUUACAUUGAUUUUAUCAUGUUAUAAACCUGUCAUACCAUAUAGUUCUUGAAACUGCAUAUGUUUUCCUACUGCAGGUGCCACUUGUUGUCACUAUUGCAAAGAGACGGUGCAUGUAUGCAUAUUUUAACUCUCAUGAGUACUUGUAGAAGGAGAAUUGUACAAUGCUGAAAGAUGUUAUUUGCAUAUGCAAAGUGGGAUCAUAUCUUUUGAAUGAUUCCGUUAGAAUCAGGUCACUCCUUGACUAACUCGAACUUGAAUCAUUUGCUUUUUUUUAUCAUGGUUGGAGAUGUGGUGUAGCAUGAGCAGAAGCUAAUGGACGUGUCAGCAAGCCUCGAGGGAGAUGCCCCCUGCAACAUGAAGAACACCAUCUGGACAAAGGGAGGUACACAGAUGGCCAAGGACGAAAGGAGGCGUGCAGGUCUGCGUUUCACAGUUAUCUCUUUCAGCACCAGCGAUUAAAUGGUAUGUAGCCGGUCAGGCGUGCUUGCCUGAAAUGUGCUUUGUUAGUUCUAGAGCCAUGCUAGCUUUGUAUGUUGUUCUUGCAGCCUCAACGAGCUAAUUCUAUUUAAAGCUAAUGUUGUUCAAUCCUUCUAAUUUUGACUAUGUGUUCUAUCCUUUUAAUUACUGUUAUUCAGAUUUUUUUUUUCAUUUUUCUGUUGCCAUUCAGAUACAAAUGUUAUGAGAUUUCAGGAAUUUUGUCAUAUCUCCCAAUCGCCUUAAUUUUUUGUAGUGAUGGAGACUUGCCUGAAUGUUGCUUUCCUGGGCGUGAAGUGCCUUGAAUUAUCAUAAAUUCUGUAUAAAUGUACGUACCUGUCUGCACCUGAUGGUGAUCUGCCAAAGUUUUGUACUU